CGUGAAAUAAAAACUUUAUUGUAAGUUGUCUAGAAAAAAUGAUUUGAUAUUCUUGCAAUAGGACACCAACACUGGUGUAAAAUGUCACAGAUAACAUAUAUAUUAAUUCUAGUACGAGUUUUACGUACAGAAUUGUUUUAGACUGCAUGUUAAAUUGCUAAUGGCAUUUUAAUUAAAGAUCACGGAUGAUAGUGAACGAACACAACACCUUUGUUCUAUGAGUGUUAGCGAUAAAGAUAUUAAAGAUAAACUUUUAAAGCAAUUUGUGCUUGGACGGGUAAGAUAUUCUACUAGCCUUACAAUGAAAGUUGCUGUGUUUUUAAACCGUUUAUAAUAAUUGACCAUGAAAUAUUUAACAUGGCCUUUGAGGGGUACGAGAAUGGGGGCACAGUGGGGUCAAAGCUUGACUAAAUUCACAGAAAAAUAAACUUUCUUUAGAAUAUGAUUGUUUUUUUUUUUUUUAAAUAAAAUCUAUGAGUAAAUGUAUUGACAAUCUUAACUCUAGGUAAAGAUUAUUAGUUCGGAGUGUUUUGCGGUAACUUUUUAUCCGUAAGUAGAACCAGCAGAUGGUAGAGUAUCAAGACAAGAGUUGUAUUAAUUACUGGUAAAAAGGAAGAAAAAAACCAACUGAAAGUGUAUUUAAAAAUAUUCAAAAUAACAGUUGUUGAAUAAAUGGAAAACUUUUUGCAAAAGAAUCAUUCCUUAUUACAGUUCUUCACUAUGAUAAGUGUUAGUAUUGCACCAGUAAUCUGACAAUCUGGAUUCUGUGACUCUCUAUUUAAAAGGGCAAGUGUAAGAACAAACCCAGACAAUUUUCCCAAAAAUUAAGCGUGAAAACAAAUGCAAUCGCCACUUGUUCAUAAAGUCACAAUUUUCUUAUUGGUAAAAGGGUGUCUAAUUUCAGUAUGUGAUGUUCUUUCAAUGUCAAUUUUUGUUAUCGUGUAAUGUAUGCAAACGUAACAUAACUUAAAAAUACUAGUGUAUGAUUUUCUCUAGUUUGUACAUUUUGAAUGAGUGUGUGAACGAAUGAGGGUGUACAUGUUUGUCUUUGCCUCUUCAUGUUUUGUUCAAUAAUUAAUAAAAUGUGAAAAACGU
rnacentral:misc_RNA from 1 species